rnacentral:rRNA from 1 species
UACGUAGGGUGCGAGCGUUGUCCGGAAUUAUUGGGCGUAAAGAGCUUGUAGGCGGUCUGUCGCGUCUGCUGUGAAAAUCCGGGGCUCAACCCCGGACUUGCAGUGGGUACGGGCAGACUAGAGUGUGGUAGGGGAGACUGGAAUUCCUGGUGUAGCGGUGGAAUGCGCAGAUAUCAGGAGGAACACCAAUAGCGAAGGCAGCUCGCUGGGACGUUACUGACA